GUCUACAGCCAUGCUACCUUGAACAAGCCUGAUAUCGUCUGAUCUCCGAAGCUAAACAGGGUUGGUUAGUACUUGGAUGGGAGACCACGUAGGAAUACCAGGUGCUGUAGGCA
rnacentral:rRNA from 1 species